UAGGGAAUUUUCGGCAAUGGAGGAAACUCUGACCGAGCAACGCCGCGUGAGUGAAGACGGCCUUCGGGUUGUAAAGCUCUGUUGUAAGGGAAGAAAGACAGCGAGAGAAUCGCUGGUUGACGGUACCUUACCAGAAAGCCACGGCUAACUACGUG
rnacentral:rRNA from 1 species